GUGAGGAAUUUUGCGCAAUGGGGGCAACCCUGACGCAGCGACGCCGCGUGGAGGACGAAGUCUUUCGGGAUGUAAACUCCUGUCAGUGGGGACGAUAAUGACGGUACCCACAGAGGAAGCACCGGCUAACUCCGUGCCAGCAGCCGCGGUAAGACGGAGGGUGCAAGCGUUGUUCGGAAUUACUGGGCGUAAAGCGUAUGUAGGCGGCAAGUUAAGUUCAAUGUUAAAGCCCACGGCUCAACCGAGGAGAUGCAUUGAAUACUGGCUAGCUAGAGGGUGUUAGAGGAAGACGGAAUUCCCAGUGUAGCGGUGAAAUGCGUAGAUAUUGGGAGGAACAUCGGUAGCGAAAGUGGUCUUCUGGGACAUACCUGACGCUGAGGUACGAAAGCGUGGGGAGCAAACGGGAUUAGAUACCCGGGUAGUCC
rnacentral:rRNA from 1 species